rnacentral:rRNA from 1 species
UACGUAGGUGGCAAGCGUUGUCCGGAUUUACUGGGCGUAAGAGCGCGCAGCGGUCGUUCUAAGUCGCGUGUGAAAGCCCCCGGCUCAACUGGGGAGGGUCACGCGAUACUGAUCGACUCGAAGGCAGGAGAGGGUAGUGGAAUUCCCGGUGUAGUGGUGAAAUGCGUAGAUAUCGGGAGGAACACCAGUGGCGAAGGCGACUACCUGGCCUGUUCUUGACGCUGAGGCGCGAAAGCUAGGGGAGCAAACGGG